UACGGAGGGUGCAAGCGUUAUCCGGAUUUACUGGGUUUAAAGGGUGUGUAGGCGGAUAUUUAAGUCAGAGGUGAAAUCUCCAGGCUCAACCUGGAAACUGCCUUUGAUACUAUUUAUCUUGAAUUUCGUUGAGGUUGGCAGAAUAUAUCAUGUAGCGGUGAAAUGCAUAGAUAUGAUAUAGAAUACCGAUUGCGUAGGCAGCUGGCUGAACGACGAUUGACGCUGAGGCACGAAAGCGUGGGUAGCGAACAGG
rnacentral:rRNA from 1 species